rnacentral:lncRNA from 1 species
CUCGGACCAUUGGUUUAUUUGCUAGUUAUUGUGAAUCAACAUGAUUCCAGUUCAAAUACAAACAGCAACUAAACAAUAAAAAACAUAUAUACAAUAAAAGGUGGAAAUAUUAACUUAAAAAAAAAAAAUUGAACUUAGAUAGGAAUGGCUCUAUUGACGGAGGGGUACACCACCGUAGCGGGAUGGGCCAUGAUUCUGCGACCCUUUACAUGGCGGCCGAAGCAAUAUAUAAAAGCACCCAACGGCCACUCCACCACUGCCGCCGCCGCCAACGCCAGGAACCCAACCGUUGGCCCUACCACCUUGCACCGACAUGGGUUGCCAGCAGUGCCACAUUGAACACAAAUUGGAAGCCCAACUCCAAGCAUUUUCCUCUAAUACUAUAUGAUCCAACGAAAUGAAUAGGGUUGCACAAGUGUAAUUUGCUUAUCAAUAUUUUCUGAACUUUAUUAUGUUCAGGAGCUUGAUCUUUU